rnacentral:rRNA from 1 species
CGCGUAGGCGGUUCCCUAAGUUGGAUGUGAAAACUCUGGGCUCAACCCAGAGCCUGCAUCCAAAACUGGCGGGCUAGAGUUCUGGAGGGGGUAGCGGAAUUCCUGGUGUAGCGGUGAAAUGCGUAGAUAUCAGGAGGAACACCGGUGGCGAAGGCGGCUACCUGGACAGAAACUGACGCUGAGGCGCGAAAGCUAGGGGAGCAAACA